AAUGCUGCAACAAUUUGGAGGAACAAGAGGUGGGGACCUGAUAUACUAUAGGAAGGAAGAGACAGAGAAAGGAUUAAAUUAUUCCAUGGAAUUCAAAGAAAAUCGUUUUUUAAAGUUCGCAUGAUGCAACUUCCUGGAUGGCUGUGUAGGCUGUUUGUCAACAUGUGAAUCACACGUGCAUUUCGGGGAGUUGUCUAACCUUGAAAAGAUCAAUAAUGGCGGUUAAACAAUGUGGCAAGCAGUCUGGUCACCAAAGGAAGGUUUCGACACCCGUAUACCCAGAUUUAU